CGGGUGAGUAACGCGUAAACAACCUGCCCUUCGGAUGGGGAUAACAGCCGGAAACGGCUGCUAAUACCGAAUACGAUCUUUUCGUCGCAUGACGGAAAGAAGAAAGGAUGGCCUCUAUACAAAGCUAUCGCCGAAGGAGGGGUUUGCGUCUGAUUAGCUGGUUGGAGGGGUAACGGCCCAACAAGGCGAUGAUCAGUAGCCGGUCUGAGAGGAUGAACGGCCACAUUGGGACUGAGACACGGCCCAGACUCCUACGGGAGGCAGCAGGG
rnacentral:rRNA from 1 species